AGAGUUUGAUCCUGGCUCAGAUUGAACGCUGGCGGCAUGCUUUACACAUGCAAGUCGAACGGCAGCGGUCCCUUCGGGGAGCCGGCGAGUGGCGAACGGGUGAGUAAUGCAUCGGAACGUGCCGAGUACUGGGGGAUAACCCAGCGAAAGUUGGGCUAAUACCGCAUACGUCCUGAGGGGGAAAGCGGGGGACCUGAGAGGGCCUCGCGGUAUUCGAGCGGCCGAUGUCCGAUUAGCUAGUUGGUGGGGUAAAGGCCUACCAAGGCGACGAUCGGUAGCGGGUCUGAGAGGAUGAUCCGCCACACUGGGACUGAGACACGGCCCAGACUCCUACGGGAGGCAGCAGUGGGGAAUUUUGGACAAUGGGCGCAAGCCUGAUCCAGCCAUGCCGCGUGCAGGAAGAAGGCCUUCGGGUUGUAAACUGCUUUCGGCCGGGACGAAAUUGCCUGACCUAAUACGUUGGGUGGAUGACGGUACCGGAAGAAGAAGCACCGGCUAACUACGUGCCAGCAGCCGCGGUAAUACGUAGGGUGCGAGCGUUAAUCGGAAUUACUGGGCGUAAAGCGUGCGCAGGCGGAUGUUUAAGCCAGAUGUGAAAUCCCCGGGCUUAACCUGGGAAUGGCAUUUGGAACUGGACGUCUAGAGUGUGGCAGAGGGGGGUGGAAUUCCACGUGUAGCAGU
rnacentral:rRNA from 1 species